CAGCAGCCACGGGAAUACGUAGGGUGCGAGCGUUAAUCGGAAUUACUGGGCGUAAAGCGUGCGCAGCCGGUUAUGUAAGACAGUUGUGAAAUCCCCGGGCUCAACCUGGGAAUUGCAUCUGUGACUGCAUAGCUAGAGUACGGUAGAGGGGGAUGGAAUUCCGCGUGUAGCAGUGAGAUGCGUAGAUAUGCGGAGGAACACCGAUGGCGAAGGCAAUCCCCUGGACCCGUACUGGCGCUCAUGCACGAAAGCGUGGGGAGCAAACAGGAUUAGAUACCCCGGUAGUCCCUGUCUCUUAUAC
rnacentral:rRNA from 1 species